rnacentral:lncRNA from 1 species
ACAAGUCCUUUCAGUUGAAACUUGUGGCAACAAAGCCCUUGUGUGUUCAGCUCAUGGUGAAGGGUUCCAAUCCCCUCAAAAAUUUGGAACAACUUGUAUUAAAUCUGCAGAUGAAACUGACUGUGCAUCUGAUCCUUUGAAUCCUCCCCUGUAUGCUGAACAAGUCCUUUUAGUUGAAACUUGUGAGAUCAAAACACCUGCUUGUUCAGUUCAUGGUGAAGGGUUCCAAUCUCCCCAAAAAUUGGGAACAAGUUGUAGUAACUCCGCAGAUGAAACUGACUGUGCGUCUGAUCCUUUGAACCCUCUCCUGUCUGCUGAACAAGUCCUUCCAGUUGAAACUUGUGAGAACAAAGCACCUGCUUGUUCAGUUCAUUGUGAAGGGUUCCAACCCCUGGAAAAAUUGGGAACAAGUUGUAGUAACUCUGCAGAUGAAACUGACUCUGCAUCUGAUCCAUUGAAUCCUCUCCUGUCGACUGAACAAGUCCUUCCAGUUGAAACUAAUGAGAACAAAGCACCUGCUUGUUCAGUUCAUGGUGAGGGGUUCCAAUCCCCUGAAAAAUUGGGAAAAACUUGUAGUGACUCUGCAGAUGAAACUGGCUGUGCAUCUGAUCCUUUGAAUCCUCUCCCAUCUGCUGAACAAGUCCUUUCAGUUGAAACUUGUGAAAACAAGGC